AAGAAAAGUUAGUACUAUGUACUUCCAAUCAGUUUCAACCGUUUCCAUCGAUUAAAUUUGAAUAUCAAUUCGUUGCCACUCCGAUAAAACUUAUGGAUCGAAGCGGGAGUGAAGCUCAUGUUACUCCCGAUCUUAUUGUGACGCGUUUCCAUCGGCUUAAAUUUUGUCUUACGCCGCAACAGAUGCGAAGUAUAUAGCAGAUAUCGCCACAAGGCGUGUUCGUUACGUUUCGUAUUUUUCGGGUACUGUCCCUUCCCUGUCUGCAUAGACGUGGCAAGAACAUGGCAAGCAUGUCGCUGUGAUAUCAUUACGUUGUAGCGACGUGCUUGCCACGUACGGUGCAGUCAGGGUUACUCUAGAUACGAAGAUCUCCGUGCGGAAUAAUACGGACUCUUUUUAUCGUAAUAAACGUAAUAAACGUAAUUAACAUAUACUUUAUUUAACACAGUCUUAAAUAAUACUCUAUCACAGCCAGACAACUCGCGUCUUAUCUCGCCUUUGUACAAUAACCGUCUCCGUUUCUUUCUUUCGUUUUUUGUAAGUAUAUGGAAUGAAAUCUCACUCUCCCUCUAAUUGGUGCUGUCCAGAGUUGCCAUUUAGUAUCACCAGAAUUUAGAGGAUUGGACAAGUUGGUUGCCACAAUUUGGUUCUACGUCGCAACAGAUGCGAAGUAAUUUUUCGGUGGAAACUAAGCCAUUUUUUAUCACUUCAUAACUUUCGAUUCGUUUGAGAGCGACACUUUUUUCUUUCAAAAUCGUGUUCUACGCAUCAAAAUACACAAUUGUGCAAAGUUUCGGCGAAAUUAAUGAGAAGAUAAAUCGUGCACCCUGUAUAUGAAGAUUUGUUGAAACCUGAGCUAGUGAAGAGAGGGCAUACGCAAAACGUAAACGAGAGUUUUAACUCAAUCGUUUGACACUUAGCCUUCAAACAUUCAUAAGGAGUGCAGCAUCAGGCAUAAAAACCGUUGAAAUCGCAGCUUAUAUUGCCGCGGGCUUAUUCAACGAAGGCUAUUUUGCCAUUCUAAAGUUGAUGGAUGUCUUGGAAAUAAAAAUUGGAUCACAAUAUAAAAAAUACGCCGAUUCAUACGAUGCCGCGCGAAUCAAGCGCUUAGAGCGAGCCAGCAUCAGCAGCAGCAAAGAAGCUCGUGCUGCUCGUAGACUGCAGCAAAUCGAACAACAGCAGUUUUUCGAAGAAUCGGAAGGUUUCUAUAACUAUACGGCCUUGGAAUUGCUGAUUAGCUCAAAGUAACUACUACUAUAGUCGGAGCUAGAUGUUCCACCAUUUGGUGCCUGCAUUGCUGAAGUGGUUAGAAGCAUGCUUCUAUAUCUAAAUAUAAAUAUAUAUAUAUAUAUUGCAUUACAAAAAUUAUCUUCUACUUUUUUAAACAUCUAUUUCAUCAUAUAAAAAGGUCAAAUUAAAUGUGGAUAUUGCGGUGUGCUGUUGGCUUGCGGAUCAAAAAAUUUUAGAACACUAAUGCUUCAAGCAAUAUGAUGAAAACAUACAUGCAACAAAUCUUGACGAAAGUAAUGUAGCUACUGUGGGUAUAAGUAUUCCAACUGAACAUGUAUCAUUUUGUAUAUUAUAUGAAAUGUAGUAUUAUAAAUAUAUGACUUUACGUGACAUUCAAAUCUCAUCGUUCACAUGGACAAAAAAUUUGCGUAGUACAUAUUCGCGUAACCAAUGAAUUGUAACAUUUAGAAUUUCUGUUGGAAUGUUCUGUUGGAAUGUUCUAAGAGAAUAGCAAGAUAUCAUUGGUUGUAUGCGAUACGUUGCUGCCGUUUUAUGUUCCAUGUGCACUAAAAACAUUCAAUUCAGCGUAAUAGAAAGCGCGGAACGCCUCUGAUUGGUUACACCAGAGCUGGCCACGAUCUGCACAUUUCGGUCGAAAUUCAGUAGGUGACGCCUACCGUCCCCCUCGCACCGCUCCGCGCUCAGCGGCCGGGGCGACGAUCGUGGUGCACUCAGGCCCGUCGCUAUAUAAGAAAUCAGCUGCGGCGUUACAGUAUC